AUUCUUCAACAAUAACAACUCAAAAUUAUGAGGCAUUGUGUGAUUUUUUGGCGCUAGAAAAUAAAAAUAUGACAAUUUCAUGCAGGCUUAACGAAUCUUCUAUAGGUUGGGUGCUUCAGAAAAUGUCAACAGAGAUACAGAAGUAACUUAUUAUAAUGGAUCUGUAGGAGCAGGUUUAUUUAGAAGUUCUUUACAUGUACAAGAAGUCACACAGAUUGCGGAGUUCCGAAAAGAAAAAUUGCGAUGUCGUCUUUAAAAUUUAUUUGCAUCUUUUUACUUCUUUUAAAUUUCGAGUACCUUGUAUUUGGCAAAGGAGGAUAUCGUUUUACUCCGACACUUAACGGCAGAUCGUACAAAUGUGUUUUUUGGUCCGAGUUGGUAAAUAAUAGGUGCAAACGUCUAUGUAUGGAGCAUUAUCAUGCAUACGGAGGUGGAUGUUCCUGGUUUAAAUGUUAUUGCUUAGUGUGUCAUGAUUAAAUUUAUCUUUUUCUCACUUAAUAUGGAUUUACAGCUUCAAAUCUUAAUAAUUUUUAGUGUGUCUCAAUGUCGAAAU